GAUGAACGCUGGCGGCGUGCCUAAUACAGGAAAGUCGAGCGAACGGACGAGAAGCUUGCUUCUCUGAUGUUAGCGGCGGACGGGUGAGUAACACGUGGAUAAAAUACCUAUAAGACUGGGAUAACUUCGGGAAACCGUAGCUAAUACCGGAUAAUAUUUUGAACCGCAUGGUUCAAAAGUGAAAGACGGUCUUGCUGUCACUUAUAGAUGGAUCCGCGCUGCAUUAGCUAGUUGGUAAGGUAACGGCUUACCAAGGCAACGAUGCAUAGCCGACCUGAGAGGGUGAUCGGCCACACUGGAACUGAGACACGGUCCAGACUCCUACGGGAGGCAGCAGUAGGGAAUCUUCCGCAAUGGGCGAAAGCCUGACGGAGCAACGCCGCGUGAGUGAUGAAGGUCUUCGGAUCGUAAAACUCUGUUAUUAGGGAAGAACAUAUGUGUAAGUAACUGUGCACAUCUUGACGGUACCUAAUCAGAAAGCCACGGCUAACUACGUG
rnacentral:rRNA from 1 species